UCGAGAAUCUUCGGCAAUGGGGGAAACCCUGACCGAGCGACGCCGCGUGUGAGAUGAAGGCCUUCGGGUUGUAAAUCACUGUCGUAGAGGAGGAAGUGUAGGUGGGUUCUCCCACUUAUUUGACCUAUUCUAGGAGGAAGGACGGGCUAAGUUCGUGCCAGCAGCCGCGGUAAUACGGACCGUCCAAACGUUAUUCGGAAUCACUGGGCUUAAAGGGUGCGUAGGCGGUUUGGUUAGUCGGGUGUGAAAUACCUCAGCUCAACUGAGGAACUGCGCUCGAUACUGCCAAGCUCGAGGGAGACAUAAGUGAGCGGAACCUAGGGUGGAGCGGUGAAAUGCGUUGAGAUCCUAGGGAACACCAGUAGCGAAAGCGGCUCACUGGGUCUCUUCUGACGCUGAUGCACGAAAGCUAGGGGAGCGAAGA
rnacentral:rRNA from 1 species